UUCUUUGACAAUUUGUUAAAUAAACCAUAUGACAGACUACAAUGCAAUGUAGUAUGGAUAUUAUCUUGUUCUUAUUAGUUACAAGUGCGAAUUUGUGAUGGAUUGAGUAGGCUGAGAGGUAACUCGUUUAAAAUGCUAGAACUUACAAAAUGUAGGGAAAGAGAUAAUAGUGGUUUGUUAUGAAAUGUUAUAAGGUAUAGAGGUCUAGUCGCCGAUAAUCAAAACCGCUUAUGGAAUAUAGGACGAUAACUUGCUAGUAAUACUAUAUUAUGGUGAUAUAGAGUGAAAGUAAGAUACCAUAAAUCGGUGUUGCAGUUGAGAUAUAGAGAUAUAUGUAUAAGACUAGUGCCUAGUUUGAGUAGCACAAAUCUGCAAGAUUACAUGGAUAAUUAGGAUUAACAAGAAAAAAGGGUUUUUUAAAUUAAUGCUUCUAACGUGUGUGAAAAUUGUUGGUAAUGAAUCCAAUAUGGUCUAGGGUAUUUAUACUAGGUAUUAGAGGAAAUAAGGUCGCUCCUUAUCAGGACUAAUACUUGCCAUUGACUGAAUAAUAAUUGUUCAUAAUGAAUUAGUGUGAGAAACACUAUUUAACAAAUUGUCAAAG
rnacentral:sRNA from 12 species